UGAACCCAAUCAAGCUCUAGCAAUCCCUUUUGAUCAUCAAGAAAAAUAGGCUCCCAAGGUCCAAAGCUAGUUCCAUUUAAUUAUGUGAACAUAGAGAUGCUUUUGCACCCCAUUUUGGAGUUGUGUAUAGACAAGGGUGAUGUGAUGUGAUGUGAUGUAACAAGAUUUUAUCCAAAAAGAUGGUUCAGUUAACAUAUUUUGGUGUGUAUGUUUCUGGUAUUGGUAAUUAGUUGCUAGCUUUCAUUUAUUUGAAGUGAAAAUAUAGUGCUGCUGCUGGUGUUUUACCAUAUGUGAGCCUGGUGGGGGGUAUCUGAGGAAGACCCCUGAGUGGAAAGUUGAUGUCCUUUCGAACUCUUCUCACAGUCUUUACGUUCAAGAUGAGAAAUUGCAUAUGCCAAGUGCUUCCAAGAUGUGAAAUAUGCAAAACAAACAGUUCUUCAAGUGCUUGAUGUGUUGAAUCUUGUUGUUUUCUUGCAACCAAAGUUGAUGUUUUUGUCAUCUUAAUUGCAACAAUUAAAUUUCAGCUAUUUGUGAUUUACCUGAUAACUUUGAUAUGUCAUGGUUCUGAA
rnacentral:lncRNA from 1 species